rnacentral:lncRNA from 1 species
CGGGGUUAAACAUGUAACCGGCAUCCCAAUCCUCCCACUAAACUGGGACAGUGGUGUAACAGUACAACAUUAGAAUGAACAAAACAAAUCAAGUAAAAAAGGUUCAACUCAUCAGAUAGAUACAAACAGAAAUAAUACCAUGUGAACGUGGCCGGGUACUUGUAUAUCCUAUCGACAAAAUGACACUAUGUACAGAUCUGUGAGUACUAGCAGUAACUUACAGCUAGUUCAAAGCCACUAACAACUAAUUUAAAAAAAAACAUGCAUCUUAGUCUAUUUCUAGAUGAAAACGCCAUAUCGAUGGAAAUUAGAAUAUACUAGGC